GGGGAAGAAUGAGGGGCUAGAAGCCCACUGUCCACUGACUUCAUGCUCGAAUCCUCGAGGCCAGCGAUCAGAUCCUCCGCGGUCUCCACGGACCCUCUGCCCGGCACCAGGCCGUGCCAGAUAUCGUGUUGCGACGACGAGAACCGGAGGCUCCACUUUCAACCCCCUGAGGCUCCUCCUCCGUCUGCAGUUGGAGGCGUCCUAAGCAAACUCACGAUCGAUCGGCUGCUCUCGGCCCCGAGGGCCCUUUCCCGUCAACGCCGACACCGAACAACAGAUUCAACACCGGAGAGGGUUGACAGUGAAUGAUGAAAGACUAUUCUGAUGAGAGAAGCUAUUUUUCUGUCCUCGGGUGCUGAUGGGGGAAAAAAAAAAAUAAGCAAAAAUCCCCACUGCCCGAUAUUUCAUUUUGUCGAUUAAUACGUUUCAGUGCGUGAAAUCUUCCUCGAGUCUUGGUUGGGGAUGUCUUUUAAAAAGAAACAGACAAAUAGUAGUGCUUGUAUUUAUUGAGCACCUGUUGGUGUGAAACAGUGCGCUAAACGCUUGGGAGAGUGUGGCUGAGGAAAGCAACGCUUUCCCUGCCUUUGAGAAGCUUCCACUCCAAAUUGACGCUCAAGUCGUCCACCUGAUUUUAAGCUCCCUAGUGCCGCCGCCUUGAGUAGAUGGAAGAAAGAGACAGAAAAAAAAUGCACCUCACUCCCUUAGUUAUCAUGUAAAGUCAAUUACCGCAGCAUAACUUCAAUCUUUCGGAAAAAUAAAAUAAAGGAAUUGCUGUAUAAUACCAGGGACGGAAUGCCAAGUCCGAAGAUCCGUCUUGCUUUUUAAAUGAGUCGAUACCGUUUCCCUGUGUUACCAAACUUCUGCCCUGCCCGCCUCAAUAAGUGUUUACUGUAUCCUCUCCAUAAACUCUUUUGUCAUUUUAUUUCUUUAGUGUUUGGCAAACCUUCCCCUCUUCUUUCUUGAUGUAAUUCUCCUCACUCUUGUAUAGAUUCAUUAGGAAGCCUUUCAUGGGUGAUUAAGGGUGUUGUUGUUGGGCAGUAA